GUGGGGAAUUUUGGACAAUGGGCGCAAGCCUGAUCCAGCAAUGCCGCGUGCAGGAAGAAGGCCUUCGGGUUGUAAACUGCUUUUGUACGGAACGAAAAGGCUCUGGCUAAUACCUGGAGCUCAUGACGGUACCGUAAGAAUAAGCACCGGCUAACUACGUGCCAGCAGCCGCGGUAAUACGUAGGGUGCGAGCGUUAAUCGGAAUUACUGGGCGUAAAGCGUGCGCAGGCGGUGCUGUAAGACAGGCGUGAAAUCCCCGGGCUCAACCUGGGAACUGCAUCUGUGACUGCAUUGCUGGAGUGCGGCAGAGGGGGAUGGAAUUCCGCGUGUAGCAGUGAAAUGCGUAGAUAUGCGGAGGAACACCGAUGGCGAAGGCAAUCCCCUGGGCCUGCACUGACGCUCAUGCACGAAAGCGUGGGGAGCAAACAGGAUUAGAUACCCUUGUAGUCC
rnacentral:rRNA from 1 species